rnacentral:misc_RNA from 1 species
CCGAGUGCGGGUCCUCGUGGCCCAACCUCCCACCCGUGACUAUUGUACCUUGUUGCUUCGGCGGGCCCGCCAGCCCUGCUGGCCGCCGGGGGGCAUCUCGCCCCCGGGCCCGUGCCCGCCGGAGACCCCAACAUGAACCCUGUUCUGAAAGCUUGCAGUCUGAGUGUGAUUCUUUGCAAUCAGUUA